UACGGGGGGAGCAAGCGUUGUUCGGAUUUACUGGGCGUAAAGGGUGCGUAGGCGGUCAGCACAAGUCAGUUGUGAAAUCUCCGAGCUUAACUCGGAAAGGUCAACUGAUACUGUGCGACUAGAGUGCGGAAGGGGCAACUGGAAUUCUUGGUGUAGCGGUGAAAUGCGUAGAUAUCAAGAGGAACACCUGCGGCGAAGGCGGGUUGCUGGGCCGACACUGACGCUGAGGCGCGAAAGCUAGGGGAGCGAACGGG
rnacentral:rRNA from 1 species